AGAUUGAACGCUGGCGGCAUGCCUUACACAUGCAAGUCGAACGGUAGAGUAGCAAUACUUGAGAGUGGCGAACGGGUGAGUAAUAUAUCGGAACGUGCCCAGUCGUGGGGGAUAACGUAGAGAAAUUUACGCUAAUACCGCAUACGAUCUAAGGAUGAAAGCGGGGACCGUAAGGCCUCGCGCGAUUGGAGCGGCUGAUAUCAGAUUAGGUUGUUGGUGAGGUAAAAGCUCACCAAGCCGACGAUCUGUAGCUGGUUUGAGAGAACGACCAGCCACACUGGACUGAGACACGGCCCAGACUCCUACGGGAGGCAGCAGUGGGGAAUUUUGGACAAUGGGCGAAAGCCUGAUCCAGCAAUGCCGCGUGCAGGAAGAAGGCCUUCGGGUGUAACGUAGUCUUU
rnacentral:rRNA from 1 species